GUCCUGGUAGCUCAAAAUCAAAAGCGUUAGUUUUGUAAACUAAAAAUGGGUCAACCCCCAGGAUUU
rnacentral:tRNA from 1 species